ACCUGAGGCUCUGGGAAGGUAGGUCAGGGUGGAACCAAGACCUUGUGAGGCAUGCACUUGAACGCCGCAGGGUCAUUCAUGGAUGGGUUUCAGGAAGCCCGGAAGGAGUAGGGGAGAAUGGGUGGUGCCCUCUCUCCUCCUGCGGGUCCCUUAGUGUCUGGCUUGGGUGGAGGAAUUGCACUGGGGCAGACUCUGUAGCCGAUGGGAGCAGGAGGUCAUGGGUCGGGGGCUUCCCGAGGCCCUUAGCGCUGUAACCCGACUGACAUGAAGCGCAUGGUGUAGAAGAGCAGUGCGGGGAGACUGCACAGAACUCACAGAGGGUCGGAUCUGAGGCGAGCAGUGCUGGCGUGCCCAGCGUCGGGGUUCAUUCUGCUACUGUUAGUUAUUGGUGAAAGAGCUGGGAAUUGAAUAUUUUUGGUUUUGUUUGAUAAGGUCAAGGACAGCAGGAAAGCCUACCUGAGUAUGCAUUGCUUGGUUGAGAGCAGACAGGGAGGUGUGGGUGGCAGGGGGGAGGCGGUCCUGCCUGUUACAGCCCAGUAUAGGGGAGCGGGAGGAGAGAGCGGUGCAGGCUGCCCUGCGUGGUGGGGGUAGCUGGGCUGGGCAGGGCUGGCCUUGCGCUGCCAGGUCGGCCGGCCGGCCUGCGCUUCAUGCUGAGCUGGGCUCUCGAUUGUCUUCCUGUCAGUCCCUCGGCGGGGCGGGUGAAGAUGCCCACAGACAGCAGUCUCGCUCCUGCUUCCUUCCUCCCACCAUGGGGAGAUGGGUCGGAUGUGGGAGGCUUCAUGUCCUGCCUCGUGUCCAGCCGUGGCUGCUGCUGAAAUGCAGCAGGCUGGACUCUGCCUUAGUGAUUUUUAAUAACAGAUAGAAAGUUUUUUGCAGUUUGUCACUGGUCAGCACAGUCCAGGAUUGGAGGAGCUGUUUGAACUGUAAUGGAGGUGCUGGUGUGGAUUGAACCUAAUCUGUGGCUCCCCCCCCUUUUUUUUUUUCUGUGCAGAUAGCUGGUACGUAGUUGAAAGUGGACAGGGAUGCCAGGCCCAGGCUGGAGGUGGGAAAUCACCUCCUGCAGAUCGUCAUCAACUCACUGGGCCAUACACAGCCUUUGCCAGGUACCCUGCUGCUUCGUCUUAAAUCAACUUUUUUUGUUGUUUAAAUCUUGGAACUGAAAUUGUCUCCUAUUGUUUGGAGUUUGAAAACCCCUCUUCCCUUGGUGUGUGUUUUCCACGGAGCCGGCAUCCCCAGGUGACGAGUCCCGAGGCUGUACUGCCAUGAAAGCUGUAGUGUGGAGAUCGUCUCCGUGUGCCCAGUGUUGAGGGCGCUGGGAGGCGGGCUGGCGCCUCCUGAGCCUCUCAGCUUUCCUGCAGCUUUGACCCCGGGGUGGGCUGCCUUUUCGUCUCUGAGAUCGCCUCAGAAGCGUAAUCACAUCUCAGGUCUUACUGUGACUUGUGAAAGAGAACAAAGGAAAAGUAAUUUUAAAAAAAAGCUUUAGCAGCUUAAGUAGUUUUUGUCCUAAGUGCUCGGCUUAAAGCUUACAUCCCUGCGUGCCUCUUGAGUUCUUACUGAUCUUCCAGCUUUGCUUUUCUAACCGUACAUUAGGAGACUCAUCUCGAGGUGAGAUGGAGUGUGGUUCGAAGAUGCCUUUUGCUGGCUGAAGCAGUUAAGAGGACUGUUCAGGCACCCUUGGGCCCCUGUAGGCCACGUGUGACUGCUGGGUUUUACAACAGGAAAAAUGUGGUUUGCCCUUCCACGCGCUUGCCAGCUGGUGGACAGCAAAGACUUUUCCAUCCCAAGGCGGGGCUCUGGCGGAAGAUUGGCUCCACUAUAAUCAUCAACUGUCCUAAGUUUCUCCAACCUGUUAGUUAUCUUUUUAAAUGGUCUUUCCUGAGUUUUCUUUGUUAAUAAACACUGGGUGGAGAGGCAGGUCCUGCUGGGUCCCUCUUAACCCAGCCAGCCUGGGCCUCAGGCUCUGAGUGUCGUCUGCCCUGUGCACACCCAGCCUGGCUGCUGGACGGAAUGGUCCCAUUCGGAAAACACGGGGCCCCGACUGGUGAGGCCCUGGCCACAGGGCAAGGACGGAAACCCCAGACACUGUGAAUGUGGUGGGUCGGCGUCUUCCGACUGUAUCUGAUGCUGUGGCAAGGGCUUAAGAAGGAUGAUUUGGGUGUAAGUACUUCCUAUGGAAGUGAAGAAAGCUGUGUGGCUGCAUCAGCUGAAAGAGAAUUCUGAUUCAUCAGCAAAUGAGGCCUUGGAUAAAAACAGCCACUUCGGUUGUGGAGUCAGUGAAGAAAGAAGGCAGUUUUGCUGUGGUUUGGGGUACAUGGAUAUUCAGUGCUAGGUUGGUUUGACAGGCUUCUCGCUUUGAAAACCUAGCAUGGGAGUGCCUUAAAUUCUUUGCUGCUAGACAGUUGAUUGAUUAGCUAAGUAGCAUGCUCAAGUCUGUCACUGGUGCAUCAUCCUGGGGUCUUGUUUACUUUCUGCCCUGCCCGCCGUCUGCCCUGGUAAUGCUGUCACUGCUGAGGGUGGAAUAUGCACAGAGUAGCAUGCUUGGCACGCAGUUUUGUUUUCAGAGAUCUCAUUAACCCAUGGUACUGAAUCAAGCUGACCCUGUGCCUAGCAAGUUGGUGUGAUCUUAAAGCCUUACAUUGAUGCCUCGGACCCUCCUGUAAGGGAAACCCCAGGAAGGUUAGAUGGUCCGACACGUGGGUUUUGUCUGUGUUUAUGAACAAGGAUAGAAUGGCUGAAGGGAGUUCCUGAAGGUGAAAUUCCUCGAUUCCAAAGUAAAGCUCUGAAGUCGUGUUAGAUUUGUCAGUAAAAUCCAGCUUGCACCGUGAGAAGCCGGAGAGGCAGGACGAGGUAAGGAGGAGGGCAGUCUAGUUUCCUUGGCUCUGAAUUGAAUGGGGUCAUCUGUGCUACUCUUGAAGUGUGCCAGGUGGAGCCCUCUCUGCAGUCAGAAAGUAGGCACCGUGGUAGUGGGUCUCCCCAUCUGCCUGGCUAGAAUUUCACCAUUGUGCCGCCUUGGCCUGGUGUCCAUCAGACAUCAAUUAAAGAUAGCCAGUGGAGUCCCGUAGGGUACACCAGGUAAGGCUGGGCCGCACUGAGCCCUUCCCUAUCUCUGCCCCAUUCUCCUGGGGCUAAAAAUAGCCCCAAGAGGGUGGUGCCCGGAGUCUGGAGAAACAAAGCCUCGGUGGCUGAAAAUUGAGGCCAUCGCUCCCUUUUGUUUUAGCCCAAAUUUGAACCCGUUUCUCCCCAGCUUGUUUUUGGUGAAGAGACUUCACUUCUAGCUUUAACCUUUGGCCCAGUUUGUGUUUUCUCAGUGAAAAUUAGGCAACCCUUAGGACUUUGCAAACAGAUGACUCAGUUCCUCGUUUAAAAUGUCCAUGGCACUAGUCACGUGGUCAGGAACCCUGGGGGAGGGACGUUGCCCCUUGGCACCCUGUCCACAGUGCCCUGGUCCCAUGCUUUGCCUGACUUUGUGUUGAGCUGGGAAGCCCCUUUGGUCAUAGAGCAGAUGUGAAGGAAGCAGAGGCCUAGGCCCCUCUGCACUGCACUCCCAGGGGCUGCGGGAGUGUGUGGGGCCACUGGGCCCUCACCUUCUGCUUGGGAAUGCUGGGCAGUCUGGCUGGUCAUCUUAGGGUUUCUGAGUGCAGU